rnacentral:rRNA from 1 species
GAAAGAUUAAUACCCGAUAGCAUAAUGAUUCCGCAUGGUUUCAUUAUUAAAGGAUUCCGGUAAAGGAUGGGGAUGCGUUCCAUUAGGUUGUUGGUGGGGUAACGGCCCACCAAGCCUUCGAUGGAUAGGGGUUCUGAGAGGAAGGUCCCCCACAUUGGAACUGAGACACGGUCCAAACUCCUACGGGAGGCAGCAUG